UACGUAGGUGGCAAGCGUUGUUCGGAUUUACUGGGCGUAAAGCGCGUGUAGGCGGCUUGGCAAGUUGGAUGUGAAAGCCCACGGCUCAACCGUGGAAGCGCAUCCAAAACUGCUUCGCUCGAGUCUCGGAGAGGAAGGUGGAAUGCUUGGUGUAGAGGUGAAAUUCGUAGAUAUCAAGCAGAACACCUGCGGCGAAGGCGGCCUUCUGGACGAUGACUGACGCUGAGACGCGAAAGCGUGGGGAGCAAACAGG
rnacentral:rRNA from 1 species